UAGAGGAAGUAAAAGUCGUAACAAGGUCUCCGUUGGUGAACCAGCGGAGGGAUCAUUACUGAGUUUACGCUCUACAACCCUUUGUGAACAUACCUAUAACUGUUGCUUCGGCGGGCAGGGUCUCCGUGACCCUCCCGGCCUCCCGCCCCCGGGCGGGUCGGCGCCCGCCGGAGGAUAACCAAACUCUGAUUUAACGACGUUUCUUCUGAGUGGUACAAGCAAAUAAUCAAAACUUUUAACAACGGAUCUCUUGGUUCUGGCAUCGAUGAAGAACGCAGCGAAAUGCGAUAAGUAAUGUGAAUUGCAGAAUUCAGUGAAUCAUCGAAUCUUUGAACGCACAUUGCGCCCGCCAGCAUUCUGGCGGGCAUGCCUGUUCGAGCGUCAUUUCAACCCUCAAGCUCUGCUUGGUGUUGGGGCCCUACGGCUGACGUAGGCCCUCAAAGGUAGUGGCGGACCCUCCCGGAGCCUCCUUUGCGUAGUAACUUUACGUCUCGCACUGGGAUCCGGAGGGACUCUUGCCGUAAAACCCCCAAUUUUCCAAAGGUUGACCUCGGAUCAGGUAGGAAUACCCGCUGAACUUAAGCAUAUCAAUA
rnacentral:rRNA from 3 species